AUAUUGCACAAUGGGCGCAAGCCUGAUCCAGCCACGCCGCGUGGGGGAUGAAGGCCUUCGGGUUGUAAACCUCUUUUACCCGGGACGAAGCGCAAGUGACGGUACCGGCAGAAGAAGCACCGGCCAACUACGUGCCAGCAGCCGCGGUAAUACGUA
rnacentral:rRNA from 1 species